CUUCUGGAGUCCUCUUUGGGAAUGUCACAGGGUACGGGACCUGGCUUUUCUUUUCUUGUGAUCAGAUGGAAGUUACGAGCUUUAGGGAAGAACACUGCAGAAAUGAAGCAUAGCCCUCUGUUAUAUCAGGAGGUGUACACUAUUGGCACAACCCUGGGGACAGUGUCCUCUUCACUGCCGGAUGUAACUAGGGCAAAGACAACACUUUUCCUAUUUCCAUAUAUACAACUAAGUCUCAUCAGAACUAAAGGGCAGAUGCUCCACCAGUCCUGCUUUGUCAUACACCGCUCUGCCCCCAACCAGAGGGACUUGUGAAUUGGACGUAUCCCUGCAGUUCAGGUAAGCACUCUGAAGACAAUGACAAAGCCUUCCUUGUGCUGGUAGUCUUGAC
rnacentral:lncRNA from 1 species